UCUUCAUUUCGCACACUCUCUCGCCUCUCUGACCGGUGAGAGAGCAUGUGAAAUGAAGAGA
rfam:Pristionchus pacificus strain PS312 contig1900, whole genome shotgun sequence.